rnacentral:rRNA from 1 species
GUCCACGCUGUAAACGAUGGGCACUAGGUGUCCGGGGUAUUGACACCCUGGGUGCCGCAGCUAACGCAUUAAGUGCCCCGCCUGGGGAGUACGGUCGCAAGAUUAAAACUCAAAGGAAUUGACGGGGGCCCCGCACAAGCGGUGGAGCAUGUGGUUCAAUUCGACGCAACGCGAAGAACCUUACCUGGGCUAGACAACAGUGGACCGUCCUAGAAAUAGGAUCUUCCCUUCGGGGACCGCUGGUUCAGGUGCUGCAUGGCUGUCGU